GAGGGACAAGGGUGCCUUUGUUUCGGGGAGAGGAGGUCCGGGGGGGGGGGAGAGCGGAGUGGGCUCCGGUCUGGGUCCACCGUCCGCCCCCCCCCCCCCAACCCCCCCCCGCUCCCGCCCCGUGCGGUGGCAGGAUUCCUCUUCUCACCAGUGUCUCUUACCAUUUCCCUUGCUGCAACGCUGCAUCUCUUUCCUCCCUCCAACCACCCGGACCACCAGCCGCACACUCCACUGAUUCUCCAUGCUUCAUCUGUAAUGUCGGACUUACUAACGAGGCUGAAACUUCAGAUUUCGGAGCAGAGAAGAUGGUUUGGAGCAGAGGACCGGCGUGGAUAUCCAAGUCUGGACUGGGUUACCUCUGCAUCCGUCUCUGUUGCAAUAUCAGCAAGAACAAGCCAGGAUGGCGUGCAGAUUGUUUUAAUUUGCACUGGGGGACUGUCUUUGGAUCUAUGAAUAAGAAAGCAUCUUUAAAUACUCCCUGCCUCUACUGAGCUGAGUGCUCCUGAUUUCCAGCUCUGCAGUGCAUGUAUGCGCUUGGCCAGCAGGAUCAGAGCUGGGCCUAUAAGGCAAUCUUCCCUAACCGUGCUGUUAAUGUGUUGUAAGAUAUGGAGCUGUUUGUGCCUGAAAGCCUGCGCAGACCCCAAAUGAGCAUGCUAAAGGCAACACAAAACCCCAAGACAUUGUUUUCCAGUACGUGAGCAGAAGCUUUUGCCUGCUGCAGAAGAGUUCCCCUCUGUCUCAUGUGAAGCUGCUGUAAAGCAUUUGCCAAUGCCUUGAUGUUCUCCCACCCAAAGGGAAUUAAUCGCCGGGAUGGAAUGAAGAGCACAGCGCAGAGAGCAGGCGUGGUCCAGACCUCACAGGACUAACUAUGCUCUUAAAGGGACUGAAUUGCUAAACUUGGUCACAGAAGCUGCUCUGGAAGAGCUUGCAAGAGCAAAUGAAAAUGUAUCAUCACAACACUGAAUUAAGAGUCAAGGAAAAUAUUGUUGGUAAGAAGCUGGAUACACUGAAGAUAUUCAAGACUGAUGGACCAGAACCUCUUGCAUCCAUACCUGUGACAAAUAAAAAAGAACGGGAGCUGCAUCUGAAUGUCACAGCCCGCUGCUCAAGAUGAUCAGGCAAGAGGAGGGAUUUAAGAGCAACAUCAGCCUCUCUUCUGUCCUGAAGGCUUGACGAGCCCAAAGGGUCCCUAGUGCCCGUGGCAUGGCUAGGCCUAGAGAGAAGUAUGUCCUGGCAGAGUUUAAAAAAUAUGUGGAUCCAGCACAUUCACCUGGCCAAGUUUCACAAAUUUGACUAGCAGGGAAUGGCUGUCCAGGAGACCUCGAUGACCGAGGAUGACAGACUCGUCGCAGAUACACCGGAGGGUGCUGUGCUAGGCUCUGUAUUCGGAAAUCAAUAAAUGAGAGAUGAUCAGCAGCAUUGGUGACUGUGGAAAUAAGCACGUCCAUGUUCAAAGUGAUCUCAUUUCUAUUAACUGUUUGUUGCUAUAUUCUCUGAUGAAACAUCUCAUGUUAAAUAUCUGGAGACACCAACUUUGACUUCAUAUGGUGAAAAGGGCAAGAUGCUUUCAUUCCUGAAGACGUAUCUUGGUGUGUCAGGAGAGGUGACCACAGUCUGUAUCCAUGUUGUGGUGCCAAAGGGGCGGAAAGCAACGACAUAGCCAAAUCCUUCUCCGUUUUGUAAUUCUUCAGGGAUGGGCUUUGAGAAAAGCAACAGACGACAGAAGUCUGUGAUGGUACAUACAGCACUGGACACGUUUUGCAGGAAUAAAGUACUGACAGACUAACAAACAUACAUGAUUGCAACCAGGUUCUUGUACUGCAUUUGGGAUCAUUCCAUCAGCAAAUUAACUCUGGUAAAGCAGAGCAAAAUGUGUUCCUUUGAACCUAUUUUUAAGGUUUGCACUUCAAGAAGAGAACAACAUUCAGGUAUAUUUCUUGUUUUCCACUGUUUUAAGACGCUCUUCAGUAAAUACAAUAUUUUUCAAUUUCACAAUCCAUAGUUCAUUAAAAAAAGAGUAAUUGCUUAGUCAACAACUAUUACAGAAGCCUGAUACUACCUUUGUACAGUGGCUCAUACCACAGUGAUUAUGAUUAGAUAGCCACACAGAGUAGUCAAUGUUAGUAACAGAUUGUUAACAUUUUUUAACUCAUUAAAAAGGGGAUACAUAA